rnacentral:rRNA from 1 species
UACAGAGGGGGCAAGCGUUGUUCGGAAUCACUGGGCGUAAAGCGUGCGUAGGCUGUUUGGCAAGUUGGAAGUGAAAUGCCAGGGCUCAACCCUGGAACUGCUUUCAAAACUGCCAGACUCGAAUCCGGGAGAGGAUAGCGGAAUUUCCAGUGUAGUAGUGAAAUACGUAGAUAUUGGAAGGAACACCAGUGGCGAAGGCGACUUCCUGGCCUGUUCUUGACGCUGAGGCGCGAAAGCUAGGGUAGCAAACGGG